GGAUUAGAUACCCUGGUAGUCCUUGCCGUAAACUAUGUAUACUUGGUGUAGUCGGACUCAACCCUGACUGUGCCGAAGCUAACGCGUUAAGUAUACCGCCUGGGAAGUACGCUCGCAAGGGUGAAACUCAAAAGAAUUGACGGGGACCCGCACAAGCAGUGGAGCAUGUGGUUUAAUUCGAUGCAACGCGAAGAACCUUACCUAGGCUUGACAUGUAGAUGACGAUAUCAGAGAUGAUAUUUCCCUUCGGGGCAUUUACACAGGUGCUGCAUGGCUGUCGUCAGCUCGUGCCG
rnacentral:rRNA from 1 species